UACGUAGGGGGCAAGCGUUGUCCGGAUUCAUUGGGCGUAAAGAGCGUGUAGGCGGCCAGGUAGGUCGGUUGUGAAAACUGGAGGCUCAACCUUCAGAGGUCGACCGAAACCAUCUGGCUAGAGUCCGGGAGAGGAGAGUGGAAUUCCUGGUGUAGCGGUGAAAUGCGCAGAUAUCAGGAAGAACACUCGUGGCGAAAGCGGCUCUCUGGAACGGUACUGACGCUGAGACGCGAAAGCGUGGGGAGCGAACAGG
rnacentral:rRNA from 1 species